rnacentral:rRNA from 1 species
AUUGAACGCUGGCGGCAGGCUUAACACAUGCAAGUCGAGCGAGCGGCGGACGGGUGAGUAAUGUCUGGGAAACUGCCUGAUGGAGGGGGAUAACUACUGGAAACGGUAGCUAAUACCGCAUACCAUCAGAUGUGCCCAGAUGGGAUUAGCUAGUAGGUGGGGUAAUGGCUCACCUAGGCGACGAUCCCUCGCGGGUCUGAGAGGAUGACGAGCCACACGGGAACUGGGACACGGUCCAGACUCCUACGGGAGGCAGCAGUGGGGAAUAUUGGACAAUGGGCGCAGGCCUGAUCCAGCCAUGCCGCGUGUGUGAAGAAGGCCUUCGGUUUGUAAAGUACUUUCAGCGGGGAGGCGUUACCCGAAGAAGAAGCACCGGCUAACUCCGUGCCAGCAGCCGCGGUAAUAC